rnacentral:tRNA from 1 species
GCCGAGGUGGUGGAACGGUAGACACCGGAGACUUAAAAUCUCCUGACUGAAUUAAGUCGUGCGGGUUCGAUUCCCGCCCUCGGCA